rnacentral:rRNA from 1 species
AGGAUCAUUAUUGAUAAGUUUUAAUAUCAAAACCCCCCUUUGUUUAUAAUCUACCAUGUUGCUUCCACUGGACAGACCGGCUUUAUUUAUACAAGUUGGUCCUUUAGUUUUGUGUUAUUUUUGGCAUAAACUAGAGAGCUGCCAGUGGAUAGAAUCUAAAUAUGAAAAACUUAUGAAGAAACUUAUAUUGUCUGAUCAUUAUUGUAAGAACAAAAAAAUAAAACUUUCAACAACGGAUCUCUAGGCUCUUGCAUCGAUGAAGAACGCAGUGAAAUGCGAUAAGUAAUGUGAAUUGCAGAAUCUCGUGAAUCAUCGAAUCUUUGAACGCACAUUGCGCCCUAUGGAAGUCUGUAGGGCAUGCCUGUCUGAGCGUCAGCAGCAAAAAUAUCAAAUCUUUUUAAACAAAGAUUUGGAUUUGGUUAAGAGAUGUAAUCCUAUGAACUGGUUACUCUUUGGAAAUUUAAAGGCAGUAUUGAUCAAUCUAACUGUAAACGUGAUAAAACAUUUCGUUUUAUUGUUAGCAAUGACCUUUUUACUCGCCUAUAACCCACUCAUCGUCUUGGGUGACCUCAGAUCAGGUAGGGAUACCCGCUGAACUUAAGCAUAUCAAUAAGCGGAGGAAAAGAAACCAACAGGGAUUGCCUUAGUAACGGCGAGUGAAGCGGCAAAAGCUCAGAUUUGAAAUCUGUUGCCAUAGAGGCAUCCGAAUUGUAAUCUGUAGAGGAGUAUUCGAGUAUGGCUUUGGCUUAAGUUCCUUGGAACAGGGCGUCAUAGAGGGUGAGAACCCCGUUUAUAGCCUUUGUCUUAUGCUUAUGUGAAUCUCUUUCGAUGAGUCGAGUUGUUUGGGAAUGCAGCUCUAAAUGGGUGGUAAAUUCCAUCUAAAGCUAAAUACUGGCAAGAGACCGAUAGCGCACAAGUAGAGUGAUCGAAAGAUGAAAAGAACUCUGAACAGAGAGUUAAAUAGUACGUGAAAUUGUUGAAAGGGAAGCACUUACUACCAGACACACUUGUAGCUGAUCAGCCCCCAUUAUUUUUUCUAGUGGUGGUGCACUCAGUUGCAAGUGGGUCAGCAUUAGUUACUACGGUGGGAAAAAGACUUUGGGAAUGUGGCUUUCUUCUGGAAGUGUUAUAGCCCAUUGUGUAAUGCUACCUGUGGUGACUGAGGACCGCGCUUCGGCAAGGAUGCUGGCAUAAUGGUCAUAAGUGACCCGUCUUGAAACACGGACCAAGGAGUCUAACAUCUAUGCAAGUGUUUGGGUGUAAAAACCCUUGCGCGGAAUGAAAGUGAAUGCAGAUGGGAAGCAGAAAUGCCCCCAUCGACCGAUCCUGAGGUUUUCGGAUGGAUUUGAGUAGGAGCAUAGCUGUUGGGACCCGAAAGAUGGUGAACUAUGCCUGAAUAGG